UACGAACUGCCCGAGCGUUAUUCGGAAUCAUUGGGCUUAAAGGGCGCGUAGGCGGCGUCGUAAGUUGGAGGUGAAAUCCCAUCGGCUCAACCGUGGAACUGCCUUCAAUACUGCGAUGCUUGAGGGAGACAGGGGCGUGCGGAACUUGCAGUGGAGCGGUGAAAUGUGUUGAUAUUGCAAGGAACGCCGGUGGCGAAAGCGGCACGCUGGUUCUCUUCUGACGCUGAGGCGCGAAAGCUAGGGGAGCAAACGGG
rnacentral:misc_RNA from 1 species